UGGAGGAGAAAAAGAGGACCAGAAAGUGAAUAACGGAAAAAAGUGUAACGAUAUCAAAAAGUUGUAUACAAACAACUCGAUAGAGACCGUUCUGGAAUUUUUGAAGUUGGAACAGCGUUUCUAGCUUAGCAGGUGUAGGACAAGUCUCUCUUCUCUCCCCUCAUGAUGUUGGUUUUGCAGUGUCUGUGACAGGAUACAGGGGUUUAAUGUUCUGUUCUGACAAGAGGUUGUGUUAUUACCCUGACAUUGAUCCCGCCAUCAACAACCUGGCAUCUCACUCUCCAGCUGCUUCCACGACAGGCCCAGUGACAUCUGAGAAGCGAGUGAGUUAAGAACAAAUUCUUAUUUACAAUAACAGCCUAACCCGGACAAACACGGACGACGCUGGGACAAUUGUGCCCUAUGGGACUUCCAGGUAGUACUGCAUUCCAUUCCAUACAUACAGUACAUGCCAUUUGAUUUGCACCCUGUUCUGAAAUACCGGUUUUGACAUGACAAUGAACACAACAGGAGAGUUGGCCAAACACACAAACAGAUCUAGUACCAGGCUAGUCUACCAUUGAGUCAAAUAGUAAACACUCUUUCUCCAUCAGAGCAUUCACUGUUCUGUAAUACCCAAUUGGUAAGUAUAAAGAGGCCCACAUACCAGGAAUCUCUUAUAAAAGAGGUCUUCUGACCUCAAUGGGAAUUUUACUGGAUAAAUAAAGGUUCAAUACUUGAAAAAAAACAUAUAUGAUAUAUAAUUCUGCUCUAUUGUGAAUAUAAUUGACAUUAUUAUCAUUUCUCUCCCUCUGAUUUACUUUUCUAAAUUUGUAUUUUUUUUUAUCCUUUAUUUAACUAGGCAAGUCAGUUAAGAACAAAUUCUUAUUUACAAUAACGGCCUACCCCGGACAAACCCGGACGACGCUGGGCCAAUUGUGCCCUAUGGGAUGUGAUGCAGCUUUGAUUCCUUGUUACAUCAGAACUCGUACCCUGAGACGAGCCUGACCUUUGACCCAACCCCUCCUUCUCCAGUGCCAGGGGUCAGUACAGACCUGUACUGUGGUUGCAGUCCUAGGGGUCAGUGCUGCUGUCUGUCUCCUGGCUGGCCUGAUGGUGGCCUACAGGAGGUACCGCUCCUCCAGAGUCAGGGUGCAUGCUGAGGAAAGUGAAUCAAAUGACGACUGCUGAUGGAAACUGGGACCCUAUUAUGGCCUUGAGAGUUUAUAGCCAGAGCUUCAUUUUAUAUUCAGUUGUUUGAAUAAACAAAAUAUACAUUGUUGUUUUGUUUCUGUUCUUUUUAUUA